rnacentral:misc_RNA from 1 species
AACCUAGCACACCUGCGGUGUGUACCUGCGGAGGGAUCAUUACACAAUAAACAUAUGAAGGCUGCACCGCCAACAGGCGGCAAGGCUGGAGUAUUUUAUUACCCUUGUCUUUUGCGCACUUGUUGUUUCCUGGGCGGGUUCGCCCGCCUCCAGGACCACAUGAUAAACCUUUUUUAUGCAGUUGCAAUCAGCGUCAGUACAACAAAUGUAAAUCAUUUACAACUUUUAACAACGGAUCUC